UAGAUACUCCCUCCGUCCGGAAAUACUUGUCAUCAAAAAGAAUAAAAGGAGAUGUAUCUAGAUGUAUUUUAGUUUUAGAUACAUCCCUUUUUGUCCAUUUUGAUGACAAGUAUUUUCGGACGGAGGAAGUACUAU
rnacentral:pre_miRNA from 1 species